rnacentral:rRNA from 1 species
GAAUCAACGCUGGCGGCGUGCCUAACACAUGCAAGUCGAGCGGGAAAGGGGACUUCGGUCCCUGAGUAUAGCGGCGGACGGGUGAGUAACACGUGGGUAAUUUGCCCUUGGGUGUGGAAUAACUCAGGGAAACUUGAGCUAAUACCGCAUGACAUCCUCUUCGCACACCGAGUCGAGGAUCAAAGCCGGGGACCCUUCGGGGCCUGGCGCCUGAGGAGAAGCCCGCGCCCGAUUAGCAGUUGGUGAGGUAAUGGCUCACCAAGGCUUCGAUCGGUAGCCGGCCUGAGAGGGCGGACGGCCACACUGGGACUGAGACACGGCCCAGACUCCUACGGGAGGCAGCAGUGGGAAUUUUUGUCAAUGGGGAAACCCUGAACAAGCAACGCCGCGUGGAGGACGACGACCU